ACGGGGGGUGCGAGCGUUGUCCGGAAUCACUGGGCGUAAAGGGCGCGUAGGUGGUUUGAUAAGGGUGUGGUGAAAGCCCGGGGCUCAACUCCGGAAUUGCCUUUAAGACUGCAUCGCUAGAAUUGUGGAGAGGUAAGUGGAAUUCCGAGUGUAGAGGUGAAAUUCGUAGAUAUUCGGAAGAACACCAGUGGCGAAGGCGACUUACUGGACACAUAUUGACGCUGAGGUGCGAAAGCGUGGGGAGCAAACAGGA
rnacentral:rRNA from 1 species